GAUAACCAAAAUCUUGUGGCCAUCUCCCCCAUGAGGUGACUCCAGGAUUGUGCGUCAGAACGGGCACCGUAGGUAGCCCAGGGCCACCAGAACUAGCGGAUUGGCCAUAAACGUCACCGUGCAGCCCUUGGCCAUCACCAACAGAGAAAAAUAGCGCCGUGGUUGAAGCGUUCGGGCCACCAUAGUCGCGAUUGAAUUGAUAGAAACAUCACUGUGCCAAGUGACCGUAUCUGUCACAAAUUUGACAUUGUGAUCGAGGAUAAAACCCGCGACCACGCCACAAAUCUAGGCGGAGCAGGUAACGUGCCCUCCAGAAACCCUUGCAACUCAUAUCCUUCUAUAAUGAGUUGAAGAUGAUGUUGCCAUUGAACAAAGUUUCCCUCAUCUAGUUUCACUGUAUCGUAACGAGGAAACGAUUGAACCAGUCGUGCACUGGAAAAAGAUGAACUGGUAGGAUCAGCAGUAGUAGAAUCUGUGGAAUAAGCCAUGAAUCGAUUACAGAAGCUUGCACCAGGAACUAGGCGACUGAUACCAUGUUAGGUGUAUUCGAUUCCCUUCGUUCAAUGAUUUCGAAAUAGUUAACGGGUAGUGUAAGUGUGGAAGCUAGUGAGAUUUAGUGUCGUAUUAAUUUCGUUUAAAUAUGUUGAUUUGGCAGAUUAUUCUAAGGAGUUAUUGAUUGUUUUAGCUACUAAUUUUUGAUAUAAAAUUAUCGUAGGUGCCGAUUGUAGCAUCCUGAUUCAACAGUAAGCCGAAA